UCCCAUCCUAAGUUGCUCGGACUAUUCAAAAAUGUUGCCACAUUUGUAUCAGAUCCUUCCAAAAUGUACUAUUUUUAAAGAAUUCGAUACGCACCUAAUGACAUUUUUGAAGAGUACAAGCAACAUAGAUCUUAUCAAUUCAUCAAUUGGCAUGGUGAUUAUCAAUAGCUUUUGUCAUACCAACAAUGAAGUUCAGCACACUUAUAAGUUCAGGGACAUUCUCAUUUGGCCUUUCANNNN
rnacentral:lncRNA from 1 species